rnacentral:rRNA from 1 species
GACGAACGCUGGCGGCGUGCCUAAUACAUGCAAGUUGAGCGCUGAAGGUUGGUACUUGUACCAACUGGAUGAGCAGCGAACGGGUGAGUAACGCGUGGGGAAUCUGCCUUUGAGCGGGGGACAACAUUUGGAAACGAAUGCUAAUACCGCAUAAAAACUUUAAACACAAGUUUUAAGUUUGAAAGAUGCAAUUGCAUCACUCAAAGAUGAUCCCGCGUUGUAUUAGCUAGUUGGUGAGGUAAAGGCUCACCAAGGCGAUGAUACAUAGCCGACCUGAGAGGGUGAUCGGCCACAUUGGGACUGAGACACGGCCCAAACUCCUACGGGAGGCAGCAGUAGGGAAUCUUCGGCAAUGGACGAAAGUCUGAACGAGCAACGCCGCGUGAGUGAAGAAGGGUUUCGGAUCGUAAAACUCUGUUGGUAGAGAAGAACGUUGGUGAGAGUGGAAAGCUCAUCAAGUGACGGUAACUACCCAGAAAGGGACGGCUAACUACGUG